rnacentral:rRNA from 1 species
UACGAAGGGGCUAGCGUUGCUCGGAAUCACUGGGCGUAAAGGGUGCGUAGGCGGGUCUUUAAGUCAGGGGUGAAUACCUGGAGCUCAACUCCAGAACUGCCUUUGAUACUGAAGAUCUUGAGUUCGGGAGAGGUGAGUGGAACUGCGAGUGUAGAGGUGAAAUUCGUAGAUAUUCGCAAGAACACCAGUGGCGAAGGCGGCUCACUGGCCCGAUACUGACGCUGAGGCACGAAGG